AGCGGCCGCUUCCGCGAGCCGGGCUGGGAGGACGGUAAUGAACGCCGCGCCCCCUGCGGGAGGAGUCCCGCCCUAGGGCGUUCCUGUCCCCGCACCCAGUCACGGGGGGCGUGGCCCCGGAAAUCGUGCGGACCUUCCCGAUUUGGCCUGGGCUAAAACGUCUACAGACCCUAGGAUUGCUGUAGGUCAGCAGUCCCCACUGGAGAAGAAAAUCUUGGUAAAUAAUCUUCACGUGGCACAGUUUGGAACUACUAGGAGAAGGAGCCUUAGGUUUAAAAUCCUGCACAGGUGACCCCUCCCCGGAGUGUGUCUACACUGGCAAAUGUGUUUGGCUAUAUCCAUACUUGCAAAACAGAGUAUUAUGUUCAAAAUGCCCAAUACUAUAUUUUUUAAAACUAGUUAUUGAUUUUGGUGGUGGGUAAUUCAAUUCUGAGAGUUUCACCUAGGAGUGAUGGGAGUAAAAAUCAUGAUUGUUAAACACCAAAGUAAACAAGAGACCGAAUAUCUUCUCAGUGUCAGUGAUGAGGGGAAGCUCCUGUUUAAAUGUGUUUAAAAAGACAGUCACGUUAUAAAAUGAUCUACAUCACUUUGCCGGAAUCUAGGUGGCGUGCAUACAGCAGCUGCAAGACCGCUGAUAACUCAAAAAUAUUAGGAGGAGUGUGAAACACUGUGUAGGGAGCAAGCUCUUUCUCUUGACUAUUGGCUUGCCAAAGCAGAGUCUUAUUAUAAUAAAAUAAUGGACAUGAUGAAAGAACAAGAGACAGGCCAUGAAAUGAAGAAGAGAUUGGAGGGGAAAACGACCCACAGGCUAGAGAGACAAAAGCAGAAUUACUUCGUUCUGGAGAGAGGUGAAACACAUAGAAAGGCACAUUCAGAGAGCAGGUCAGCUCAGAGAGUUGAAGACCAAAAUGUGUAGACAAUUACCACGGCCCCCUAGUGAAACAACAUUCCCAAAAAUUGUGCCAGGAGAGCACGGCGUCCUGAGCGCACAGACAAGAAGGCAGGUAAGCAAGAGGGAGCAGAUGCAAAUUAAAGGUCACCAGGAUCGCAUGCUUCGGGGGAGAGAACUGGAGCAAAGGCUCAAGGAGAGAGUCUUGAGAAAAAGCCAGAGCCAGCCGUCAACACGGGACAGGCGUGGGAGAGCAAAGAGCGAGAUAAAAGAGCUUGAAAGCGUUACUGUGUAUCCCCUUUACCAGCCACGCAGUAGAAGCUGGAUUAAAGUGAAUAUCCUUAUGGAAAAGAAUAGAGAAGAAGUGAAUACUAUUAUAAAACCACAUCAAAGAAUGUUCUUAACCAUGCCACCCUUUCUGAGAAGACAAAUAGGAAAAAUAAAAGACUAGUAAAGUUUCAGUGCUUUUGUAAUAAAAUCCCUUGUCGUAAGCGAACUCUUGUUUUUCGUACUCUUCCUCGUCUGUGCCCAGAGUUCCGUGAAUAUUGUGUCCUUAUCAGGUGCAGAAGGAUCAGCUGGUUCUGGGCUUGCACCUGGCGCAGCGGUCUUAGGCACCUGGUGUUUGCGCACAUGGCGAAUCCUCUGAUGUCGGUGUCGCCAGCUGGGCGGUGGCUGGACAACGAUGUGAUAAGUUCUGUCCGAAAUGAAAGAUGCCUCACAAACCAUCACAUGGAUUGAUAAGGUGCAUCUCAAGAAGAUAAGAAAAACAGGAAACUUGUUAUUGGAGGAGCACCCCCAGCUGAUAGGUUUCCUCGAAGUUUUUCCCUGUGAAUGUAGCAGAAAUUCCCAGGAGGGUUGUCAAAUCACUGUUGUGCACCUGAGACUACUGGGACAUCGCGUGUCAACUGCACUCACAUUUAAAAGAAUAAUGCUGGGAAGUGUGAUGAGUUGAAAUGCAGCAACGUCAUGGUCAGAUUUUCUUGUUUGCAAGCCUUAGAAACUUGCUUGGGUGAGUAUAAAGAAAAAAGGAAAAUCAGUAGAAAGUAUCUUAAAAUAUUUCAUGUCACUGGGCCUCACAAGAGAUGGGAACAAGGCAGUAAGUACGCCCUACCCGUCUUGGUUCUGCAUCUUUCCUUGUGUCUGCUCAUUCCUGUUCCCUCUUUGUUCUCAUAGUGGAAAAUGGCACCUCUCUGCUCUCUCAGAAACAUAUGCCAGCAGCUGUUGUCUCUCCUCUAUACUCAACAGCUCCUUUUCAACUGGGUCAUUCCUACUGAACUAUAAAUAUUCUCAAAUCUCUCCCAUUUAAGCAAGCUACCAUGCUAUUCCUUUGCACUCCUUCCAAGCCAGAUCUCCUAGGAAGUCUGUAGAAGCUGCCUGCCUACACCACAUCAGAAACUAAUGGUGUAAUGUAUGGUGAUUAACAUAACAAUUAAAGAAAAAAGAAGAAGAAGCUGCCUGCCUUCUGGCCCCAGUGCCCAUCUAUCCACAAAUCCCCUGUCACUGAGUCAUCAAAGAGCUCCAUGCAGCUAAGCCCAAUGGACAUUUGAGGGUAGAAUGAAGAAAGGAGAGGGUGCCAACAACAGGCAGAACCUGACAGGCAUGUGGCAGCAAAGGCAGCCUGGAAGAGACAACCACAGCUGGAGGGUAGGCGUCCAGUCCUUAGAAAACAGGAGGGCAAGGACAUCAGUAGACCUGAGGACUGGUAGACAGGGAACCAAUGGAGCCCAUUCAAGGAACUGGAACAGGGCACCUAAGGUACAAGAUAAGCAAACAGAAUACUCGGGAUGAAAGACCAGAGCAGGAGUAGAAAGGUUGACAAAACUGAACUGCGGACUUGGGUUUCACUGGGGAUAGGCAACCACCUGGUGAGAGUUAAGAAAGCCCCAAAUAGAAACAGACUAUAAGGUUACAGGGCCAGGAGACAGAGCAGACAAUUACUAUAACGCUCAUGCUGAGUCAAGUACGUGAAAUAAGACUUUGAACUCAUUGAAGCAUGUCUGAUGGCAUCUUUAACCAUGAAAGGUGAAGUGCUUGGAAACUGAGCCUCGGGACGUACGGUUUACAAGAUUGGUGUGUUGUUUUAUAUAGAUCUAAUUAUAUAGCCUUUCACUGGAUUAGGUAAAAUUCACCUGUUACCUACUGUCAGUUCAAAUAGUGAAUAAACUGUACCUCAUCUGUCAUAAAUCAUAUUUUUGCUGGUAACCUCAUAGCAGAGAGUAGGAUAGUUGUAUAGAAGGAGAAAAUAAAACGUAUCUGCCAUGCAUCAAAUACAAUUAAUUUUUUCACUGAAUCAUCAAUACAUCUGGAUUCCAGGAUAAUGAACAUACCCUGACUUACUAGAGAAUAAACCAAAGUUUCCCAUAUUAACAUAAAAUUUUGUUGAGAGGAAUAAGAAAUUUAGCCAAUAGAUUUCUCAAACUUUCUGGGAUGUGCAUGUAACAUACCCAGAUAUUCUUUUAUGUUUAUAUACGUCUUUUAUAGAUGUAAAGUUGUGCUCUGUAAUGUGGGGGUCUGUCUCUUUUUGCUUGCCCAAGGUUUCUUUGUGGUAAGCAAAUUCCCACCCUCCUCCUCUUAGAGAAUUGCUUCCCCCCAAAGUCCCAGCCAACCACAGCACCUGAUCUUCGUGGCACAGUGACUGACAUCAGUGUAGCCAGUGGUUGGCAUGUGUCUCAAAUGACACCGAUCAGAAUCCUUCCCUGUUUCAACAGGAGGGACAAGAACAUUUUUAUAAAAGUACAGAAACCCAUUAUGUACUCCCCUUUGGUCUGCAUGGGACUUGGGACGUAGUGAGCAGUGUACUCAAUCAAGUGGUCGUUCUCCUUAUAAUCUAGGACCAAGUAAAUCUGAGAAUCCAAGUAGCUGGGCCAGAAUUAAGUUCGAAUCUCUUAGCACCACCCCCCUCCCAUUUCGGCUGGAUUGCUCCCAACAGGGGGUACCAGCCAGGCCAGCCUGGGGCUAUUAUUAGGCUAUUAGGGAAAAGAAAGAAACACCACGUCCAGGAAUUUCCAAAAUAGGUCCAUAUAACCUCCUGUCCUGGUCAUUAGGAAGUGGCCAAGAGGAGAUGAUACUUUUGGGGGGAUAGCAGCCUAUGGUGGCCAAGCUGCCUUACAAAGGUGUGUGGGCCAGGAGGAAGUGAGGAAAAAAGACUAAGAAAAUCCUUUUUAGUGAAUUUUGAGAGGGCUGUUCAGCCUCUGAAUGGUGGUAGGAAGCAUGAAAGAUCCACUAACUACCUUGACUAUCAGCCCAUUGUGUGAGACUUUGCAAUGAAAGGCAUACCAUUGCCAAACUAGAAUGGUCUGGAAAGCCAAAAGCAUGGCACAGACUAGUUUCAAGGGCCACAGUACUAUUGCUGGGGUAGGCUGACUGGACUAGAAUAGCAACACUGUACCCUAGAAAAGUGUCAGCACGAAUAGGUGCAAGAGAGGGCCAGAGGUCUGAUGAGUCCACAUGCCUGGAGCAGGUGUGGACAAGGCCCCUUGUCAUGGGGCCUCUCUGCGUGUAAGACAAGCAGGUCACAAGUCAAAUCAGAGACUGAAUCCUUUCUUGUGUGCCCAGUCUAUGAUGGUGGAUGUCCUGUCAGGUCUGGGAUGAUGAUGGAUCCAGAAGGCAGUGGGGGUGAUCUGCACAAAGCAGCCUCCCUCAGCAGAUGGGCUCCAGUUUGGCUCAUCAGAGAACAGGUGCCUCCUAGGGGCAUCCACCUGAGUGACAGAUGGCUGGGUCAGCAGUUGGGUUUAUUUCCAGUUUGCAGCUCCAGAGAGAGGUGUCUAACCAGUCUAGUUUUCCAAGUGCCAGACCACUGGGACAGCCCAGGAGUCAGUAAAAUGACAGGAAGGUUGAUCAAGGGGAGUACUGGGGAGAGCCAUGACAACGGCCUUGGGUUCUGCCCAGCAGGGAGAAUGGCGGCCUCCAUUUUUGGUUCUGAAUAACUAGCACUGGGACUGAAUGUUGGCUUCAGCCUGAGACAGCACUCAGCUCAGCUGCCCCACCGUGACCCAGGACCAGGGCCCUGAGAGCCCUAUUGAGCCAGCAGCUUUGGUCCAGAUGGCAGAGUGAGGGAUAGCACUGUCCCCAGAGGGACAUCUGCCACUUCUCCACAUGGACUGAGCUAUGGGGGCCAGGCCAGCUGCACCCUUAAAUGUACCACUUCCAUUUCAGAAGCAAGGCCUAUUGGAUCCUCCCCACUUUGUGAGAAGUUGAGUCCCAGCUGACCUACCCUCCAAUGUGACUAUUCAGCCAGAAUGUCAGAAAGCUUCCUUGGGUCAGGUGUUGAGUUUUGACAGGAGCCCAGAAACAAGCUAAAGCUGCCUUUCUAAAAGAGUGUACCCAGUAACUGUGUCCAGAGGGCGGUGGGUGCGAGACUGAGGGUACCACUGAGCACAGGCUACUCCCUUCGUCAGAGCUCUCAUCAGCAAAACCAUCAAUCACAGACACUUGUAGCUGUUGGUCGGAAACCUCAGGAGUUUCCCCAGGUGAAAGCUCAAAUUGGCCCCCAUACGUGCAGGGCAAGGAGAAACUGAAGAAAAAGCAGGCCACUCCCGAUUGGUACGUGGCAGUUUCAGUAAGCAAGGGAACUCACGUAUUACCUUUGUCUUGGGUGGUCACAAGACAAGUAGGUGUCCACACCUGCCCACCAGAAUCUUACAAGUUUAUAGAGAGGCCUUGACUGGGUUUAGUUAUGUAUUCAAUCCAGAGGGUCUCCACAACAGCUCUGUCUCAAGACUGUGUCCUUGAAACACGUCCCACUGUGAAGAUGGUGGGUGGAAUAUACAUUCCAAGGACAGGGAGGGAGGGAGGAGGACCGCCGGGGUCCUGCUCUCGGGUCAAUGGGUGGUCAUGUCCUCUCGAUGAGCCCCUCCAACAGUAGCUCCAAUGACCGAGAGCUUGCCACAGCUUGGUAGAUUGUUACAAUGGGGCAGAGGACUUCCCUUUUGUUGUCUCUGAAUGAGAAAGAACUGGGGCAGCAGUUCUAGACCAAGGACCAGGAAAUUGGCAUAGGGUUUUACAAUUUACAAAAUACUUCCGUUGGGGCGCCUGGGUGGCUCAGUUGGUUGGGCAUCUGCCUUAGGCUCAGGUCAUGAUCCCAGGGACCUGGGAUUGAGCCCGGCAUUGGGCUCCCCACUCAGGGAACCUGCUUCUCCCUCUCCCUCUGCUCAUGGUCUCUCAGUCAAAUGGAUAAAUAAAAUCUUUAAAAAAAAAAAAAAGAAGGGGGCGCCUGGGUGGCUCAGUUGGUUGAGCGACUGCCUUCGGCUCGGGUCAUGAUCCUGGAGUCCCGGGAUCGAGUCCCGCAUCGGGCUCCCUGCUCGGCGGGGAGUCUGCUUCUCCCUCUGACCCUCCCCCCUCUCAUGUGCUCUCUCAUUCUCUCUCUGUCAAAUAAAUAAAUAAAAUCUUAAAAAAAAAAGAAGAAGAAGAAGAAGAAGAAAGAAAGAGAGAAAGAAACUUUUGUAAACAUUGCUUCCAUUAAAUCCUCAAAGACAAUUGCCAAAAUGGUGCCCUGGUUGUUGCUAAAUUCCAGACCUGGGUUGGAAAGGCUCAGCAUCCGAGGGACUGUUUCCUACUUGCACAGACAGAAUAACAAGUCUUACCUCAGGGGAUAUUUGAGGGGACUCAACGGAGGCCAUGUUUGCAAAUGUAUUUUGUAAAUUGUAAAACCCCAUGCCAACGUGAAACAUAAAAGAUGAUCAUAACACAAAGUGGAAUACGAUAAGUGUUGAUGUGGGAAUGGUGGGUUUUGGAGCUGACGGCCAGGAGAGACUUUGGUGCAAGAAGGUGGUUUUAUUAAAGCACAGGGACAGGACCCCUGGGCAGAAAAGAGCUGCACCGGGGUCCUGAGCAGUGGCCCAUUGUACACUUUCAAGUUGGGAGGGGGUAGGGACAGCACAGGCCUCCAAGAUAUUUUGGAAACAAAAUAAAUGACCUAUUGUUAGGAAAGGUCAUUUAUUACUGUCAGUAAAAACUUAGUCAUUCGACCCUUUAGAUGUGUAUCAGUGGGUUAUCUGCUUGGGGAAUGGUUGCUAACAUACAUUUUGGGUGGUAGAAAUAAAGGAAGUUUCCAAAGGAAUUUCUAUAUGUUUAAAAUAGACUCACAGGAUCCUGGGGUCAGGCUAAGGUUGCCUUUUGCCCUUAGCAAAGUGUCCACAUCCAGGCAGCUGAGCUCCCAGAGGAAGGUCACUGCCUGUUUCAAGGACUUGUCAAGGAAAUUUAAUUUUUUUCUUUUGCCUUUGUUUCCCACAUCAAGUGCUAAUUAAGUGGAAAACAAUAAAUGUGAUACCCAUUGGACUGAUUAAAGACCUAUAUAUGUCCCACUGAGCCUGGGCACCUGGGUGGCUCAGUCGUUAAGCGUCUGCCUUCGGCUCAGGUCAUGAUCCCAGGGUCCUGGGACAAAGCCCCACAGUGGGCUCCUUGCUCAGCGGAGAGCCUGCUUCUCCCUCUGACUGAUGUUCCCACUGCUUGUCUCUCCCUGCCCCCUGUAUCAAAUAAAAAAAUAAAAUCUUUAAAAAAUAAUAUCACUGAGCCAGGUUGAACUGGGUGAGGUUAAGUGCCCGAGGAAGUGACCUCUACCUGCCAUGGUCCUCCCCGCACUCCCCUACCUCCAGCAUUUUGGUCAAGGUGUGCAAUCUCCCCUUUACCUUCGUUUUUCUAAGAUGUGCCUCCGCCCCUCUUCUGGGGGCCCGUGCGUCUCGUUUUGGCUCUAGAUGGUGGUGGUUGGAGGUUGUGAGUUUUAAUCGGAGAUAAUCCUCUUUUUUCAAGAGCAAAUUAAGAUUGGAAAUAAGGCAAGAUCCCGGCGCUAG